rnacentral:rRNA from 1 species
UUGAACUAGAGAGUUUGAUCCUGGCUCAGGACGAACGCUGGCGGCAUGCCUAACACAUGCAAGUCGAACGGACUGUUCCUUCGGGAACAGUUAGUGGCGAACGGGUGAGUAAUGCAUGAGCAAUCUGCCCCUAACUACGGGAUAACCUCUAGAAAUAGAGGCUAAUACGGUAUAAGACCACGCUGUCGCAUGACAGUGCGGUAAAAGCGCUUUAGCGGUUAGGGAUGAGCUCAUGUCCCAUUA